rfam:Cicer arietinum chromosome Ca7, whole genome shotgun sequence.
AAUGAGCAUAUGAUGAAUUUUAAUAUGUGUAAAUGGGUAAUUUGCAUCUGAAUUUUAUUGAUGCUACAUCACCUUGGAGAACUGAUGCUCAUA